rnacentral:rRNA from 1 species
UACGAAGGGGGCUAGCGUUGCUCGGAAUCACUGGGCGUAAAGCGCACGUAGGCGGCUUUCUAAGUCAGGGGUGAAAUCCCGGGGCUCAACCCCGGAACUGCCUUUGAUACUGGGUAUCUCGAGUCCGGAAGAGGUGAGUGGAAUUCCGAGUGUAGAGGUGAAAUUCGUAGAUAUUCGGAGGAACACCAGUGGCGAAGGCGGCUCACUGGUCCGGUACUGACGCUGAGGUGCGAAAGCGUGGGGAGCAAACAGG